rnacentral:lncRNA from 1 species
CGCCGCCUCAGCGUGGCUUGAUGAGCAGUGCCAUGUCCGCACCCAGGAUCCGAACCAACGAAACACUGGGCCGCCUGCAGCGGAGCGCGUGAACUUAACCACUUGGCCACGGGGCCAGCCCCAAGUUGCAGGUCCUCCUACUUGUGGGAUGUGGGAUACCGCCUCAACGUGGCCUGACAAGCGGUGCCAUGUCCGUGCCCAGGAUCCGAACCCUGGGCCGCCGCAGCAGGGCGUGCGAACUUAACCACUCAGCCUCGGAGCCGGCCCCUGGAGGUGGUUUUAAUUGUGUGUGAUGACGAACUGUGGCAUCUACCCUUACAACAGAGGAAAAAGUAAUCAGGAAGGAGCGGGUGCUUAAAGGAGUCAACUUAGUCCCCUGGGCUUCAAACA